rnacentral:rRNA from 1 species
CAAGUCGAACGAGAAAGUGGAGCAAUCCAUGAGUACAGUGGCGUACGGGUGAGUAACACGUGGGUAAUCUACCUUUUAGUGAGGAAUAACCGAGGGAAACUUCGGCUAAUACCGCAUAAGCCUGAGAAGGGAAAGCAGAAAUGCGCUGAAAGAGGAGCCCGCGGCCGAUUAGCUAGUUGGUGAGGUAAGAGCCCACCAAGGCAGAGAUCGGUAGCCGGCCUGAGAGGGCACACGGCCACACUGGCACUGAAACACGGGCCAGACUCCUACGGGAGGCAGCAGUGGGGAAUCUUGCACAAUGGGGGAAACCCUGAUGCAGCGACGCCGCGUGAGCGAUGAAGCCCUUCGGGGUGUAAAGCUCUUUCGUCAGGGAAGAUAGUGACGGUACCUGGAGAAGCAGCUGCGGCUAACUACGUGCCAGCAGCCGCGGUAAUACGUAGGCAGCAAGCGUUGUUCGGAGUUACUGGGCGUAAAGGGUGUGUAGGCGGUUCUUUAAGUUUGCUGUGAAAUCUCCCGGCUUAACCGGGAGGGUGCGGUGAAUACUGAGGGACUAGAGUACGGGAGAGGAAAGUGGAAUUCCUGGUGUAGCGGUGAAAUGCGUAGAUAUCAGGAGGAACACCGGUGGUGUAGACGGCUUUCUGGACCGACACUGACGCUGAGACACGAAAGCGUGGGUAGCAAACAGGAUUAGAUACCCUGGUAGUCCACGCCCUAAACGAUGCAUAUUUGGUGUGGGCAGUUCAUUCUGUCCGUGCCGGAGCUAACGCGUUAAAUAUGCCGCCUGGGGAGUACAGUCGCAAGGCUGAAACUCAAAGGAAUUGACGGGGGCCCGCACAAGCGGUGGAGCAUGUGGUUCAAUUCGACGCACCGCGAAGAACCUUACCUGGGCUCGAACGGCUUCUCAACGCCGGUGGAAACAUCGGUAUCC